rnacentral:rRNA from 1 species
GAUCCUGGCUCAGGACGAACGCUGGCGGCGUGCUUAACACAUGCAAGUCAAGGCAGAAAGUACCUUCGGAUAUGAUUAAACUGGCGAACGGGUGAGUAACGUGUGGGUAAUUUGCCUUCGAGCGGGGGAUAGGCCCGGGAAACCGGGAUUAAUACCGCAUAAAGUCAUAAUACGAUGGUGUUGUGAUGAAAGGCGGGGACCUUCGGGCCCGCCACUUGAAGAUAAGCCCGCAUCUGAUUAGUUAGUUGGUAGGGUAAUGGCCUACCAAGACCGCGAUCAGUAGCUGUUCUAAGAGGAAGAUCAGCCACAUUGGGACUGAGAUACGGCCCAGACUCCUACGGGAGGCAGCAGUGAGGAAUUUUGCGCAAUGGGGGAGACCCUGACGCAGCAACGCCGCGUGACCGAUUGAAGCUUUUAGGAGUGUAAAGGUCUGUCGUGAAGGAAGAAAAAGUCCGAGAAUAAUAAGUUCGGUAAUUGACGGUACUUCACAAGCAAGCUCCGGCUAACUUCGUGCCAGCAGCCGCGGUAAUACGAGGGGGGCAAGCGUUGUCCGAAAUAACUGGGCGUAAAGGGUACGUAGGCUUUUUUGUAUGUUUUCGGUGAAAUCCACAGGCUCAACUUGUGGCUUGCCGGAAAAACUGCAGAGAUUGAAUCCGGAAGGGGAAAGCGGAAUUCCUGGUGUAGCGGUGAAAUGCGUAGAUAUCAGGAGGAACACCAGUGGCGAAGGCGGCUUUCUGGUCCGGAAUUGACGCUGAUGUACUAAAGCGUGGGUAGCAAACAGGAUUAGAUACCCUGGUAGUCCACGCCCUAAACGAUGUAUACUUGAUGUCGGGAUGUUCGGUCGUCUCGGUGUCGUAGCUAACGUGUUAAGUAUACCGCCUGGGGACUACGGUCGCAAGACUGAAACUCAAAGGAAUUGACGGGGGCCCGCACCAGCGGUGGAACAUGUGGUUUAAUUCGAUGCAACGCGAAGAACCUUACCUGGGCUUGACAUAUGUAUGAAGUAUGUAAGAAAUUAUGUAUUCUGUCUGAUUUUUCAGACAGCAUAUAUACAGGUGAUGCAUGGCUGUCGUCAGCUCGUGUCGUGAGAUGUAGGGUUAAGUCCCUUAACGAGCGCAACCCUUACUUUUAGUUGCCAUCAGGUAAAGCUGGGGACUCUAGAAGGACUGCCGAGGUUAACUCGGAGGAAGGUGGGGAUGACGUCAAGUCAGUAUGUCCCUUAUGUCCAGGGCUACACACGUGUUACAAUGGCCGGUACAGAGUGCCGCGAAGCCGCGAGGUGAAGCAAAUCACUCAAAGCCGGUCCCAGUUCGGAUUGGAGUCUGCAAUUCGACUCCAUGAAGUUGGAAUCGCUAGUAAUCGCAGAACAGCACGCUGCGGUGAUACGUUCCCGGGCCUUGUACACACCGCCCGUCACGCCAUGGAAGUUGGGAGCACCCAAAGUUGCUGUCUAUACGGUGGAGGUAACUAAGGUGAGACCGAUGACUGGGGCGAAGUCG